CUGGAACAAGGUGACAUUUUUGGCUUGGCAGAAACAGUGGACAACUCAUGUGAUCUUCAUUUGUGCCUGAUUAGUGAAGGAGCAGAAUGCAUUUUUAUUCCCAAAACUUUGUUUCUAGCAGAAGCCAGCACUGGAUAUAGAAGGGCUGCAUUAGAGCUGGUGGGAGCCUACCCCACAGAAGAGGCCAUCAGGGAGCACCUGGUCAAGCAACAAGUGUGGGAUGAGUACAAGGCCCAACUGUUGGCCGUACUGCGGAGGAAAGGAA